CUGUGAUUCAGCAGCAUGCCGAUAUUAUACAUUAUGGUCUUAAAAUGGCUUGACAUUUCCUUCAGCAGUCUUUGGAGGAAUCGAUACCUCGAUGUCUGCAGUGAGAGGGCUGGUCGAGGAAGAGAAAGUGUAUUUGCCAGUGUCCCUAAAAUAUUACGCACAACAAUUUCAACAAGGAGGGGGACCCUGACAUGUGACCUGCUGUGUCGCUUUCUGGUAAUAUCAAGGGGAAAGACAAGCCCAGGCCACAGAGGCAUCGUAAGACAGGAAAUGCCGCUUUGUUCUGCAGAGGGGAAUCCAAGGCAAUCCCGGAGUGCUGGUGUCUAGCAGCUUUUCCAUCCUACCUGGUCUCUGAUGAACCACACCUGCACUAAUCAUAAGAUGCUUCUUUUCCACAGGAGACAGAUAUCUUGGAAGUUUUCUUGGAAUCCAUCACUUUGUAACUGUAUACGAAACAGCAAACAAAAUAUGCCAUCUGACUUUUAAAUUAAUUUCAAUAAAAAAUUUAGCACAAUAGGUAAAUGGCAAGUUUUUUUUUAAGUAAGUGGUUUUGGUAAUUAAAAACUGAAAGCAUGAGAUAAAAUUUGCGAUAAGGCAAUGAAAAGUUUGUCAAGGAGGAUGAGCAAUGAAGGUUCUGCUAAAGCUAUAGGCCUGUGGGAACGCUCUGUGUUACCUCUGAAAACAUCCAUUCAGCAGAACAACAGGGACACUCAACAAAUCCAUUCCAGGAGUGAAUUCUUGGGAAGUACUCUGUCUGAGUUCUGGCCAGGACCCACUUGAGGCUGGAAGCGAUCCUCACAGGAGGAGAUUCACUGGACUGCAAAUCUGAACCCUGCACUGCCCUCAGAAGGAAUGCCAACCACGAACAAUGAUGUCAUAGUGUCCCCCUCCUCUACCGUCCUGGCAGAGGUGGGCUUCCAAUGCUGGCUUCGUUACCACCUGGUGACAUCAGAAUUACUACAGUUCCUAGCAGUCCUGCUUAGAGCUUACAGUCUAUGUUUCUCUAUGGUGCUCUGAUGUUAUGGGGCCAGACGGAGGGUUAUUAUACUCCUCCAUGCUGCUGCUGAAAUUUCUUGUCUGGUUGGAGCUGAACCCAUUGCGAUCCAGCUGACCCAUCCUGACCUUUCUGGAAGGAAUAUUGUCUUGUUAUCCAACUGAAAUGAGGCAGUGGGGCAGGCCUCUGAAAAAGUUGUCUUUGAGCAAAUGAGGGCAUAUUUGGAAAGAGCAUGCUGUAGUUUAUUGAAAAGUGAAAUGAAAAUGUAUGUUUUAUUUUUCCUUCCAUCCUACAAACAUAUACAGAGAGAGGGAGAGUCUUCUUCACAUACCGAAUGAAAGUGUCUUGGUGGCUCUUGGUCUGCUGGGGUGAAGAGUGAUGCAGUAGAGGUGCCAGAACAGGCCCCAUAAAUUAAUUCAGUUAAUUAACACCGCAAAUACUUCGUACAUGCCCUCUCUGCCAGGUAUUGUUCUCCAUUCACCCAUUCAUCCAUUUAGCAGCCGUUCGCAUUCUGUGAGGUUAUUGUAAUGGAGCUUUUUCACUGUUGUGGUAGUGAUGGGGUUUGGCUGAAGCAGGAGACAUGCUGGGGGCAGCCAUGGUGGGAUUAGCCCUAAUGGGAUCAGCAGCUCAGGGUCAUGUAACAGGGAACAGGGGCGGGGCACUGCAGCCGUGGUGGGAUCAGCACUGGCGGGAUCAGCACGUCAGGGUCAUGUGACAGGGAACAGGGGCAGGGCACUGCAGCCGUGGUGGGAUCAGCUCUGGCGGGAUCAGCGCAUCAGGGUCAUGCGACAGAGGCGGGGCACUCCACCUCUGGUGGGAUCAGCACUAGUGGGAUCAGCCCGUCAGGGUCAUGCGACAAGGUACAGGACGGGCACUCCAGCUGUGGUGAGAUUAGCCCUAAUGGGAUCAGCAGUUGAGGUUAUUGUGACAGGGAACAGGUGUGGCGCACUGCAGCUGUGGUGGGAUCAGCACUAGUGGGAUCAGCACGUCAGGGUCAUGUGACAGGGAACAGGGGUGGGGCAUUGCAGAUGGGGCCAUAUCAGUACAGUGAUCAGCAAAAGGCUGCAGCCCCUGUGCUAUUCAGACCAGUGAGGUGUAUAAACAUACAGAGCAGACCCUCCCUCUGCAGCCAGCCACCCCUUUGUUUUUUAAUCACACUUUUCCUCAGGUUCAUGCUUGUUGUUUUAAUCCAACCUUAUAUCUUUUUUCCAAGAAAGAAGUGAAAAAAAAUCAAUGUCUGUUAAUGAUGUUAAUGAUAAUGGCUGUUUAAACCCUGUAAAGCAGAAAAUCAGAAGGAAGGUAUCUAGAGGCAAACUAUUUGUUUUUACAGGCUCCUGUCCCUCUCUUGUGACCUCUCCUCCUCCCUUUUUGGGCAGCUGCUGGAAGGUGCUAGGAAAAGCUGGGCAGGCACAUCUGUGACCCGGGCUGGCGGCUCCAGAGCCCCCCCUCCCAGCAGGGCAGCAGUCUGCUUGCUUCCCCCCCAAAACCUAGCAUGGCCCCAACCAUGUCCAUGCCGUUAACGUGCUAUGCACUACAUGAUAAUAUAUGUGUGAUCACAUGAAGCACACCACCCCGGGGAGUCACACGUACUAACCACAUCUUUGCUUGCCGGAGAUUUUACAAUAUGUACACUUUAAAACUGUAAAAAGCAAAAAUGGCUUCUGUCUACAUUUGUACUUUGAAUCCACCAUAUUUGCACUACCUUACGUCUUAGUUUAAUUUAGUUUAAUGUUAUUUUUGCAUACGUGUAUAUCCUUGAAAACUUGUAUCUGUCUUGCUAGUUGUUGUUAGUGCACUCACUGUGGGAUCUGAGAGUAGCGUAAUGCCAAUCCUCUCUGCGUCCUUUACAUAUGGCAGAAUUGACAAUAAAGACUUAUAAAGCUUAAGCUGACAUCGUACGACCAAGGCUCUGUAACUAUGCCUUAUGCCUCUGAAUAUUUACAAAUCUCCAGUUUCAGGACAGCCUUCGCUAAGAAGUGUCAGUUUAAUCUCUGUUCCUCUCAGCCAGCUCCAGACCUAGAAUUCAAAUUCCACACCUUGCUUUUUUGAUCUGAUCUCUGCUUGCGAAGGAUAACCACUCCGGAAUGAUUAUGGGGGUGAUGUGUGGCUGUGUGGGUUCGGACUCACGAUCACAGUCGCUGGUACAAAUCUAGUGGUCAGGAGAGUGAUGUCACUGCUGGGCCCUUAACUCUCAAUUGCUCCAAGGCCACUGGAUGCUGGCUGACCCCCCAAGCUUGCUGUCACCUACAUAUGUGCCUGUUUGGCUCAUAAAGAGCAAGACAGGAUCAGCGAAAUGAGAAACUCCUGAUGGGGAUCAAUAAAGUAUCACUAUUCUAUUUCCUCUUCAACCACUUGACAUUGCUUUAAUUCAGCUCAUUCCUAACAAUUUAACAUCUGUGUUGUUUUCUUGUUUCUUAAUCUCACCUGCACAGGAUGGUUAGUUGGUGCUACGAACACAAAAUAAACCAGCCAUGCAAUUUGCCUGUUUAUCUUACCUGCUACUGCAAGGUAUUGCCACAGGUGCAGAGUUAUUUCUUAGGGUUCCUUAUUAUGCUGCGUGUUUCUGAUGCUUCUGCCGUGCCUUAUAUUUGUGCUUCGCUUUGUUCUCUAUGUAUCUGUUCGUGUCAUGUGUGAGUCACACCCAGGAUGUCCCACAUCACAUUUGCACGUCACAAUGGAGGCUGGAAUCUGUCACAUCUCUCCAUGGAGCCCGGUUGUCAUGGACGUUUCAAUCCUCUGGCGUUUAAAAAAAAUAAUAAAUCCGUCAGCAGGGCCCAGUUGCUUGCGCUCUCCCAGAGCUGCAGAUUAAUGUUAUUCUGCUUUUUAUUAUCCUCCUGGAGAGAGAUCCUAUCUCCAAAACGGCACGUUAGCACCGGAUUGCUUUGGUGACAUCACAGGCUACCCUUGUGACAUUCUGCUUCAUGUGGCAGCUCUGCAACGCCCGCGUCCCCUCAAUCUCUCAUGCUGCAGUUUCCGGUGUCAUUUUUGGUCGUAACGGGCCUUUAUUUUGCACAAAUCCUGAUGCUUCUGUCCCGAAGCUAGAGAGAUCACAAAAUACAUUUAUUUCCUGACAAUUCCAUAUUGUCUUCAAAUCAGACGAAACUCAUUGUUUUUACCAAACACGAAAUGCUGUGUUUCACUGCAGGUAACUAAACAAAAAAAUAGAAUCACCAGUAGCGAGGCCCAGAAUCUCAGACAGCCUAACUCUGGUACCGACUUCCAUUAGUUAUGUAUGAUUAUGGAGCUAAAAAUAAACCAUAUCAGUUAAAUGAAAAAGAAGGUAUGCUGUGAUGUACUCAUCUGUCAAGGACCCAUUAAAGUUUAAUCUUAAUAGCAAAUCUAAAUGUCAAUUGUGAUGAGAUCCCUUACAUCCUUUGUGGUGAAUG